rnacentral:rRNA from 1 species
AUGCUAAUUCAGAAGUUCUGGCGGGGGAGCAAAGAUGGAAAGCGCAAACCCAAUUGGGUCUCGUGGGAGGCGAUGACACAACCAAAGAGCAUGGGAGGCUUGGGAUUCAAGGAUUUUCAAUUAUUCAAUUUGGCGCUUUUGGGAAAACAAGCAUGGAGGAUCCUUCAACACCUGGAGUCGUUAAGUGCUUGGAUUCUUAAAAGCAUAUACUUUCUGAAGUCAUCUACCCUAACAGCCGAGCUAGGUACCCAUGGAGUCCAAGUUUGGAGAUCCAUAGUUGAAGGCCGAGAGAUAUUGAAACAGAGCUUGAUCAGGACUAUUGGCAACAAAAAUUCCACUCACAUUUGGAAUGAGAGUUGGAUCCCUAGGAAGGAGAUGAUGCGGCCUUAUGGUGCCCGAACAGACAACCCUCCCUAG